GACAACUUGACAUUGAAAAUCACCCAUAAAUUACUAAAAAUAUGGAACUCCAAAAUUACCGAUAAAAUGAAAGAAACUAGGUACAUGGCAAGGGAUUUUUGGUCCUCCCAAUUGAAAUGUCUUCUCGAGAGGAAACUCCCCAAUGGCUCCCGUUAGUCGGCAUAGGCAUCGCCGUGGUAGCGGCCGGAAUACUCUACAAACUGUUCUCUGGUGGAGGUAGCAAAUCUAAAGGGAAGAAUCCGUUCUGCCUGCAACCCGGAACCUUGCGUAUUUCCAAAAAGGAAAUGGAAAGACUAGGUUUUACUAGCGGCGAC